UACAGAGGUCUCAAGCGUUGUUCGGAUUCAUUGGGCGUAAAGGGCGCGUAGGCGGCGGGGUAAGUCGGGUGUGAAAUCUUGGAGCUUAACUCCGAAACUGCAUUCGAUACUGCCGUGCUUGAGGACUGGAGAGGAGACUGGAAUUUACGGUGUAGCGGUGAAAUGCGUAGAUAUCGUAAGGAAGACCAGUGGCGAAGGCGGGUCUCUGGACAGUUCCUGACGCUGAGGCACGAAGGCCAGGGGAGCAAACGGG
rnacentral:rRNA from 1 species